CGGGCGGCCUCAGGAGGGGCUGCUCCGGGAGGCGCCGCGUCCCGGCCGCGCCCGGGUCGUGCGGGAGCUGGAACCGGGAACACCUUCGGCCGCAGUUCGUGCCGGCCAGGAGCUCCGCAGGCACAUAGAAGAUGUUGUCUUGACCCUCCUGGCCUGGAAGACUAUAGGUCUCCAUAAAAACAGCAGUGAUUCAAUCUCAGAUGCAGAAUUGAGUAAUAAGCACCAAGAAUGGGUAGUGCUGACGUAGAAGGAGGUAUGUUCACUCAAUCUCACCCUUCAUCCUGCUUGUCUAUACUUACCUUACUGAGUAUUGACCUUGUAAGAAUCAAUCUAUUUCCCAUGGGCUAUUCUAUUCCCUAUUUCUUCUGAUAUUGCUUCUAAUAUUCCAUUAUUAAAGCAUUUUACAAUAUUUAUUUCUGAAAUAUCUUUAGGCAUUUCUUAAAAAAUUUUUGAAACAACUUUGAAGUCUUGCCUUCGAGCUGUUUAAGUUGGCUGAAGGGACAACUGAAGUGAACUACAUGCAAUUAAAUAGUUUACAUAAUUCAUGCCAUAAGAAAAAUAUCAGAAGAUCUUUUUUUUUUUUCUAGUCUACCUAGGUGGAAGGAAGAUUUUUCCAAAGUAAUGUUUUCAGAGAGGAAUGCUAGAAAACAUAUUGAGAACCCAACGAAUAUUGACAGACUGAUAAAAUAUCAUCCCCAAUAACAAAAAACCAAAAAGACAAUGACUGUAUAUGUUCCCUUUUCGGUGAAUCAGAGCAGCUAAAUUGUGUGCAAUGUGUCUUAGGCCAUUAACAGGUAUUCUCUUUACCACAACUAAUUAAUUAGGAGAAUGACAUUCUAAGUAAGGGGAGCUGAGAUUUGGUACUUCUUCUGUUUCUGUAAAAUUUUAGGCCACAGUAAAUCUAUGAUAGCUGUGAGGUUAUUGUAUUUAUUACAAUAUUUCUAUUGCUUGCUAUUACUGUUUUUGAGCCUGUGAUGGCAUAAAAAACUGUAAAUGCUUCUAGAAGGACUAUUAUUCUAAAUAUGUAAUGACAUUCUAGACAUUUGGUUUCCAAGUAACUUCUCUAUUUUAGCUUCUGUUUAAUUUCCCUUCUUCUUCUUUUACAAUGAGCAAUAUUUCAGCAACACAGAGAAGGAAACAAACGCAAGAAGUACUCCAAUUUGAACAGAGACAAAAUACAAGGACUUGGGAGUUGCCUUUAAAGAUCAUGAACACGUUUAAUAAUUCAUCAGAGGGAAAAUGCUCAGUAUCAGUACAUAUAGAAAAUGUAGUAAAAACCAUUCCUUUAAACAGAUGAUUACAUUGUUAUUACUUCACUUAGGUUGCUAAUACCAGAGAUAGUUUGAGAAUGCUUUCAAAUGAAGAAAGAAGUGCAGUAUUUUCUCCUGUGCCAUGACCUGCUCUGUUGUUCCCUCUUCUGUGACCUUGGCGCAAUCUGUUAAACAGUACAAAUACUUAAUGUGAGAACUCCACAAUUUGUAAUAUGGACAAUGUUUGAAGUACAAGGAGAAAGUGGCAGAAGACGUUUUCCUUUGAUGGCACUUCACCAGUAUCUUGCUGAAUAUGCUGAGCUUCGUAGUAUUUAACACCGGCGCACUCAAUGAAACACCAAGUCAUCAUCUGUGCUUGGAUUAUAACAAAGCUUAAAGCUAUUUGCCUAUUACUUACAGAAGGCAAAAAAGAAACACCUCAAGAUACAUUCAAAACAGAAUCUCGUGGCCAACUCUGCCUGGAGCUACUUUUGUCAGAGCAGCUGGAAUUGUUUUAAUUGUAGUUCAUAUAAUCAUCACUGUAAUUGACUACUGCCUCUUCUGCAGAGAAGAAAAACAUGAUGGCCAUUCAAAUAGCUAAAAUAAAAAGGCCAGAAAAACUAUCAAUAUUCAUGGACUGCAGUUGAGUUUGCUACUUCUGAUAAAAGCUGUUAGAAGACACCUUAAAAACUAUUUUACAACCCUUCUUAUUUUGUUAUUUGCCCUGUGUUUUAACAUUGUGGUUUAUGGUCAGUGAAACAAAGAGCUGCAAACCAAGCCAUUCAACAGGCAAAUACUUGGUGCACGUACUCACCACAUGCAAACACUAAAGACACAGCAGCUAUUUAGUUUGCUGAGUUAGGUGCAUGAUCUUACAUGUAAAACUCUAACUUUCCACCUUCUAAGAAAUUAUGAUUGUCAGCACUGUAAAAUAAAAAAGAAAGUCUUAGAUACUCCUGCACAAAGUGUUUUUAUGACACUGUUUUCAUAUCCUCGUUAUUAUGACCCUACUACUAUGAAGCUUGCUAUGAAACAAGAUCAAACAGAAGAAAGAAUAUGACUUGGCAUGUGAGAAUGCUGCAAGUUUGCCAAAUGAAAUCUAAAACAGGAUUUAUUUUAAAAGAAAUGAAAACCUACUUUCACUGGUAGUAAAAAUGAUGAUUAUAGAGAAUACAAUGGAAUCCAUCUGAAGGUAACUAUUGUUAGAUAGGAAAGUAACAGCAGUAGAGUAAACUCCAGUUACAGUCUUUCCAAAUGAAAAAUCAAUUUGCAGAAUCAAGUUUCAGAAUAGUUUUUAGUAUCUGAAAAGAUGUACACUAUUUUGUCUUUAUUCAUUACAUUUAAAACACUGAAGUUUUAUUAAGAUUUUAGUGAACUACCAUGUUUUUGGUGAAUUUGUCCAUUUUACUGUUGAAUUCUGAAAUAUGUCAAAAAUAGGAAUACUAAUUCUUUUUGUUUAUGUAUUUAAAGCAAUGCAUUAUUGACCUAAAACCGCCGAUACACUGUUCUUGUAGGACCACUAAAAUUGCUGUACUUGAAGGAAGGACAUGCAUAUUUUUUUACCUCUUGCUUCCCCAUUUUCACUGUAUGCCCUGGAAAGUCUAGAGGUUGCCUUUUAGAGUAAGGUAAAGCUAAUUAAAUCUUUCGGGAUUUAUUUUUAGAGAGGCUACGUAGACAUAGAAAUCUGAAAAACUAGAAUAAGUGUUAAUUGAAAAUUUUUCCAGCAUUGUCAAUCCCAAAAGAUCAUUCAUAAGUACAUACACCAGAAAAUGAAUUGACAGCUUUUAAAUGAUUAUAAAACUAAAGGAAAGUAAAUCUGGUGUUCAUUUGCCUUUUAAUGUUUAACUUCUCAGGGUAUGUUUGCUUUUAGCUUUGAUAUAUAUCUGUGAAGCUAAAAAUUAUUUUAAAAUAAAUGCUAAUACAUUUCCUACUAAUAGGAUCCCAAAAUCCUAUCCCAAAAUGCUGUGAUUAGAAAAAAAGUUACAUUGUACUUCAGGGUAGAAUUUCAGUAACUGCUGCAUUACUGUACCAUUCACUACAUAUUGACAUGCACAACUUGUGACAUUUAAAUUUGAAAGCCGUGGCGUUGUGUACAUGGUCUUAUUUUUGCAGCUCUAACAAGCAGAUGAAAAAGAAGGAGAAAACCCUGCUUAUUUAGCACUGAGUUUAGAUGAGCCAAUGAGAUCCCUCUUUGUAACCUGAAGUACAAAAAAAAAAAAAAAAAAAAAAAAGGGGAAGUAUAAGCCCAACCACUUGCCAAUUUCUUCUGUGGUCAGGCAGCAGAUAAGUUGUUUGCAGCCUGCCCGUUGUUUUAGCUUAUCACCGUCGUCAUAAAGCACAGCACAGUUUGCACAGAGAGUAAAAACUAAAGCCAGCUGAUAAUGAGUUCCACUUUGGAAUGAGCCCUGAAUUUUAGGUAUGAUGGGAGAAAAAAGUUUUCUGCGUCACAGGAUAGCACAGAGAACGAUAUCCAGGUAAUGACUUGGGAAGCAGAACUGGCCUGAGGUUUGUAUGUAAGCAGAGCCCUGCGCCGAGGCUGCUGCUGCCUGGAGCCGCCCAGCGCUGGCACUGGUGCCGUGCGCAGCCAGCGCGGGGCCGGGGUUGGGCUGCUGUGCCCGGGCUUUCCGCCCGCUCCGGGGCCGCCUUGCUCUAGUGCUUGUUAAAAUCAAGAGUUCAGUGAAGAAAACGUCACAGAAUGUCAGGAACAACACAGGAUAUCUGAUCUGUACAUUCACAACUCCUGAACAACUCUUCUAGAGAUGUAAACAUUUCAACAUCACUGAAUUGCUAUGUAAAAAUAUGAAAACAAACUAUAUUAAUACCAUAGCUCCAUGUUAGCAAUGGAAUUUAAAAAUUAUUUCAGACAAAUACUAGAAAAUAAAACUACUUUUAAUUAUUAAUAUUUUUUUCAUCAUAAAUAAUUUGAAAUCUUGCUGCUUUUCUUAUUUUACCCUGUUAUGCCCAGUGUUGAAUCAGAGGAGGAGAGAGACUAGAAGAGUCCUGCUACAGGGAGGUGGGGAAAGUCCAAGCUGACAGGUGGAAAAAAGUGCUGUCUCUGUGAAGACUGGAGUAACGUGGCCUGUUCUGAGUAUCACUUAACUGCAUUGCAAAUACAGGACCAGAUUUAGAAUAACCGCAAACUGAAACCUGAAUAGUGGUGGAAACAACCAUCUCUACAAAAUUCUGGUAACACAAGUUGAGCGAUCGAUGGGGUCUCUCUUCUGAGUGUCUUGUUCACAAGCACUUGUUGUUCUGGCAAAAAGCCCUAGGUCCUAGAUAUCAGGAAGCAGUUCUCAGUUUUCCCUUUCUAUGGCUUCUUUGGAGUUACAGGCGCAGGAGCAGAUGGUCUUAAGUUCAGUCACUAAUGCAGAAUUAUGGUGGCUGUUAUAAGAAUAGUAAUUUUGGUAUCUUUUAAAGGCAGAGUUUGCAGUUAAAUUAAAUUCCAGUUGAUAAGCCUUUAGAUAAUACCAGAUUUUAUGCAGUUUAAUCAUAGCGAGAUGAUUACAGACCACAAGCUAAGCAACCAAAGACCUUCUCAAAGAAAUAUGCUCAGCAUGUUGUAUUUAACAAGAUACUAAAUAUUCCAGAAUCAUCAAAUCCUUUUCUCCAAUAGAGCUCCUCCUUAUAAAAGUAAGAGGUAAUGCCAGUGGAAUCUUUGUCAAGUAGGCAAAAGCUAGUGAGGGAUGUAACUAAUUUCUGACUUUCUCCUUACCCCUCAUGAGAGCUCUAAAAAGCUCUCUUAAGCUACUUUCACUUUGUUGUGUUUUUAUGUUUUAAAUGCACAAUGCAGAAUACACUAUUUUGUCCCUGCUCUUCCUCUGCAUUUGUAAAAUGGACACUGGUUUGUUUUAUAGAAGCAGAGAACCUCAAAGAGCAGCAGCAGCCAACCUGCUCACCCACAGUGAGUAACCACCGGCUAAAAAACGGCUGAGAACUGCAUGCUGUGUAGAAAAGACACACGGAAACCAAUUGUCUUUGUGGUGAUCCUUUUCCCUUCAGUGGAUUAUGAUUGGUAUUGCUGAUUAAUUUGUAUAUUCUUCACUGUUAAUAGAGAGGAUAUCUUCUGAUAAUUUAUACAGAGGAUUUCAGAGUGGUGACGGCUGUUGGUGGUUAUCAUUUCAGAGAAUGUAGACAGGAACACCUUGGAGUGUAUCUUCAGGGUUGCCUUCUGUGGUGGUGCAUCCUCCCCCACUCCAUGGGCCACACUGUCAUCUCAGAAACACCAGUUAAACCUUGGCCUUGAUGAACAGCACCUGGACUAAGCUCCUCUUGAUCUUACCAGAAACACUGUCGGCUCCUGUUUUUCAAAGAAUAGCCUUGGAAAAUUAUUUUUCGUGCUUCAACUUGCUUGGAACAACAUUUUUAUUAUCAAACUUUAAAUGAAAGUCACUGACCCUAAUUGUGUCCAGGAUGGAAAAUUACUAUGACUAAAGCCAAGUCUCCUGCAACCCAGUGGUCCUAAGUGAGACCCUUUGAGCUCUCCUGGACCACAGCAGGCUGUGCCCAGCCUCUCCCCCGGAAUGAGACAUGCAUGGAGCAGGUGAACUCUCAAGUUUGCUGUACUUGGAGUACCUCUGCCAAAUACUGCCAACGUAUCAAGGGAACACUCAUUUGUGACACCUUCACAACAGAUGUUCUACAGUCCUGCAAAGCUUUUCAACACUUUCUAAAAAGGUCUCUCAGGCAAUGUGGUUCUGCCCACAUGUAAAGAUAGGUUGGGAUAUUUUACACAUGUGGAUUGAAAACAGUGAUUUGGUCUAAACAGAGAUUUCACAUCAGUUUAAUAGGGCAGCAGAUAAAUUCUCUUCCAUAGGAGCUGACAUCUGCCAGCAGUAACUGCAAUCAUGGGAUUGGUUUUCCAAAUUUUAGAUUUUUCAGGAGAAAGCAUGCUUUUACGUGUGUUUUUACCUUUUUCGUGUUCCUACUCAGACAUAAAGCUGGCAUCAAGUAUCAUGAGUAUUCUCUCUCAGUGUCUUCAAAUCAAAAGGUGAUAGGUUUAGGUGAUACAUCCUGUUUUCUGUAUUUGCAAGCACAGUGAGUGGUCAGGUCUCUGACAGUGAAGCACUGUGCUUUUCAGUGCAUUUUUCAUUGAUAACAAAAAUCCUGGAAAUCAAGUUAUGCCCUUGCUGGUAUCUGCUCAAUCUGGCUUCCUAGACCUAGAGCCCAGGACCAUACCGACUUCAUGGAAUUUGCAGUGAUGUAACAGUUUGAAAUUCAGCUUGAGAAAAAAAUGAAAUACAUUCUCAGCUGAGUAAAGAGAAGUUGGACUUUCAUUAUUACUUUCCAAAACAGAUUCCCUCACAGUUAGAUGUUUCCAACAAAACUGGUUUGCACAUUGCUGGAAAAAGAUUUUGUGAUCAUGUUUUGCUUGUAUUGUUCUGCUUUGUCAGUGUGGUUCAGAACACAAAGGCUAUUGUUAAAAAAAACCAUGAAUGUUAAUUUGCAUUCCAUUGCUGGGUUAUUACACAGAGUGUGGAAAAAAAACAAGCUCUGAUUCAAAAAAAAAAAAAAAAAAAAAGAGAAAGACAUUGUUUCUUUUUCCCUUUCUUCUUCCUUGUGACUGGUUCUCCUUUAUUUUAAUGUUUCUGGCCCAGACUAUGCUCUUAGAGAUAGUGAGUGUCUUCUAGUACUUGUAGGCCACCACAGCGGUGUCUAUAGAAUAGACUAUUUCAGCUGGGAGGGACCCACAACAACCAUCUAGUCCAGCUGCAUAUAGAUCACCUAGCAGAGAUAUAUAAACUAAAAACUUAAUUCCAUAAUGAUGUUUGUGAGCAGUGACACUUGCAAUACACCUGCUCUUAUAUUAGGAGGUAAUUGCAGUCUGAAAAUUCCUAUCUGUACUAUUCCAGAAGACUCUGAGUGUAGCUUCACAAGUGGGCAUAGACUCCACUUUGACCACACUGCCACAUCUACCAUCGUCUAUUGAUUCUCAGCCCUGAGCCACACAUUCCAGCCACCUCUGCCACAGCAGUGUGGGGAAAUAACCUUACCAAAAGAGGAUUGGUUUCCUCCUGAGCUGGUCUGACUCCACAUGCAGCCUCACAAGCACUAAGGCUAGAAUGAGGAGGGUGGGAGGAACAGGACACAAGGAAGAGGAAAGAAUAAGACUGUCAGGACCCUGAUGACACUAAGAAGCCUUUACUGGCCUCCCCCACAGCCCUACCCGUGGGCCCAGAGGCUCUGUUUACGUUCAGUACCUAUUUCUACCACAGCCAUACCUGUGCCUGUGUAUGUAGGUCCUGUUGAUCUAGGCAUUGUGGACUGUUCUGACCUCAGGCCUAUGGACUGACUUCCCAGCCUGACCUAGGCUCUCUCCUGUCACUGUUGUCCUGCCUGGGGAUCACAAGGCUGGGCCACUUCCUGGCUUGACCUCAGCUCUGCUCUGGCAUCACAGACCUGCCUGUCAGUCACAGGUCUGUGUCUGACCCUCACCUGCAGACUGACUUCUCAGCCUGACCUUGGACCUGCCUCAUUGUCAUGAACUUUCUUGAUGACCUGGUUUGACCCUGGCUACCAUCCUUAGCCUGCCCUGCUCCCUUACGUCACAACAGGAGGAGGGUGUCUAGUGAGCUACCUGCUCUGCUUGCUGCCACCUAUCUCCCUGUCCCUAGGGAGCAGCCAGCCUUGACAAGGACCAGGCACUGGGAGCAGUGUAGUCUCUGCCAGGCUCCUACCAGUUUAAACGAAUUACAAGGCAGGUAUAAGGAAGGUGGUGUCAGUUCUUCCAGGAGCUGCUUCCCAAAAGAAGCAGUCAUGCCACUUCCCCAGCCACAGGUUAUUUGUUCCCACCCCUCUUCCCUGUGCCAGCACAAGUGUUUGCACAGCAAGGCAGUGAACCAGGACAAACAAAAGUGAUGCAGCUGGUUCUUGAAGGAAUGGACUUAACCGUUUACCUGGGUCAAGAACAAGCACCUCGUGUUGAGAAGAGUGGCUGACACAGCCUCAGACUCAAGUGUUUGUGGAAACCUGGAAGAUCACCAAGAUUAGGGAUUUUACUGUGAUCCCACCAGGUCUGGGAUCCCAGGAAUUUGUGUGAUUUGCCUGGGCUGAAGCAAGCAAUUGUGCAUCUUCCUUUCUGUUACUACCCAAACUAGCUCAGCUAUGAAGGUGCUGCUGUAAUUACAUCCUGCAACUAGCAAUGUAGAUGGAUCUGUGGUUGUUUAGGUCUUUCUUAUAUAAGCAAAGCAACAAAAAUAUUCAUCUAGACCCAAAGGUCCCGGGCUCAGGGUUUACUUUCAGUUCAUACUGAACAAGGAGAGGUCAAACCAGAAGUUUUCUGUGCCUGGCUCUGCCUGUUCAGUUGUGUGAGGUUGAGCCCCUUCAGUACUGAUUGGCUGUUUUGGGCUCUUCUACUCCUCAGCAUUUUGAUUGUCCUUUCCAAAUGUCAUCUUCUGUCAGAAUCAGCAUGGAAGUAAUGUCAUGACUGGUAUAUCUGAACCAGCAGUGUUCAGAUGUUAACUUAUGGAAUCCUUAAGGCACUAAGUGAAAUCUCCAGGAAAAAGCUCCCACCACUGACCAUACUGCUAGCAGGGAAGAUUGUGGUUAGCUGGAAAUGGAGAAUAAGCUUGUGCUGCAGUUGAUUUGCUUAUGUCUGUAGUGUUCAGCUCCUAUGUUACACUAAUUUAAUUUUUAUUAAAUGAGGAAGAAGGGAAAGUUUUCAUAUAAACUUUUCAUAAAAAGACAGAACUGCCCAGUAAAUAAAAGGCAUAUUCAGAAUAAGCAGGUAAGAAACCUUUAAGAAGAUUAAUGAAAAGAGAAGAUGGUAAUCACUAAAAAAUUUCUUCAGAGGAAAAUACCUUUCAUUAAUUACUAGUUACUCCCUGUUGGAUAUUCAUAAGAGAACAUUUGCUUUCUUCUGCUAUUAAUGAUGACAAGUCUGUUAAGGACUUAAUUAAAAUUAUUUGUUUCGGGACUAACAAGAUACAUUUGCAGAAAGAUUGUGAUAUUCUAGAAACUGAUAAAGUUUCAAAAUGUAUCAAAUAUCAUGGGCAUAUUGGGAAUCAUUGAAAAGGCAGUCUAAAGAGUGGUAAAACCAAGCAGGCACACAGAACAAGCUACCAGUGUUAAGUAAGUAGCAAAUGAUGAAUGGUACAAAGGGUGGAAGAAAGGCUAAGGAUUAUUUUUGUCUGAAAUAGAGUCUCUGAUGCUUGGUAAAGAUGCAAUUUUGUUGCACCUCUUUUUAUGAGCUACAGUAAAUCAGACUAAGAUUAAUGAGUGCCAGAUUAAAUGUUUUCCAGGAUAUUCAAUACUAAAAGGAAGCCAAAACAGCUUUUAAAUGUUUGGUUGGUUUGGUUUGUUUGUUUUUUUUUUUUUUUUUUCCCAAGAGCUGAAAGUAUUGAAGGAAAUUGGAAUGGUACUUGGAAAGACAUUUUAUUAUUUUAACUAUUUUGUCCUCCUUUCUAUAUCCAGCAUGAUGUUUUAAAGAAAGUGGAUACAGUUAUGCUGUCCUCUUUUUUGAAGUCAUAAUUGAUGUGAAUAACACAGAUGACUGAUUCAGGCCUCAUGACCAUUAUUUAAAAUACUCUCCUACUUUUAGGUAUGUACUUGAGUAAACCAACAUAACCAGUAAGAAAUUCUUGGUGUUUAUAUGAAUGAUCUUGCAAAGGUCCAGUGAGGAUUUCAAAGUAAAAGAACAAAUGAAAGAAAUUUACCUGCUGUAAGUCCACAGCAACACUAUUUCCUUACUGGUGAACACUUCCUCACAGCAAUUACGUCAUGGUUUUGGAAGUCUUUUAUAAUGCUUGUAUCUGACAUCCCACUUGCAUUUGUCUGUCAACAAUUCUGGGUUGGAAUAACCCCCUUGUGCACGUGGUUCUGGGUUCUAUUCCUGAGUGAAUCACUUAACCUCUCUGUCUUUUUCUCUUUCCAUCCAUAAAAUUAGCAUAAUAAUACUAAUUCAUCACAGGCUAUAGUUAGGCUCAAUUAAUGUUUGUAAUGAUCUCUGAGAUUGUUGGAUAAAACAUGCUGUAAAAGUGUAUUAUUAUUGUUAAUAGAGCCUUUUGUACUUUGGCACUCUAAUAAAGCACUACCAUUGCUCA